CUGUCAAAUAUUGCGCACAGCCUUCAGUCUUCAGCAGUCAGUGGAGUGACCAGACUAAUCCAUCAGACAAACAACUCGGAAGAUUAACCUUUUAUAGCCUCGCGCAACUACUUUCUGUGGCCGCACCCGGAAGCCUGUUUUUAAAAUCAUCAUCAUUUUGUCACAUGGCUUUUGGAGAAUUCAAUAACAACAAAAAAUGGCGACAAUCACGUUGCUCUGUGUGGUCUUGCUGCGUCAUUAAAAAUAUUCAUGUAAACACGAGGAAUCAAACGGGAAUAUUGCAGUCGCCGCACAUGUUGCUUUGCUCCGCACGUACGAGAGGGACCAACAUUUUUGGCCAGUGUCCUGUGCAGCGGGGCUAAUGGAGUUGUUUACAUGAAGUGCGGAGGGCGGACUGUGGAGGAGGAGGAGCCGCUACGUCGGCCAGAGACGAGACGCGACUGCUCGAGAAGGGGGCGGAGCCCGCGAGGAGAAUCAUAACAAGUCUGACAUCACUGGGCCUUGUGGUCGGUAUGAAUAAAACAGGUUUCAGUAGUUUGCUUCCACCGUGCCCGGGCAGGAAGGAGGCGCGC